UGGGAUGACGUCAAAUCAUCAUUGCCCCUUAUGACCUGGGCUACACACGUGCUACAAUGGUUGGUACAACGAGUUGCGAGUCGGUGACGGCGAGCUAAUCUCUUAAAAGCCAAUCUCAGUUCGGAUUGUAGGCUGCAACUCGCCUACAUGAAGUCGGAAUCGCUAGUAAUCGCGAAUCAGCACGCCGCGGUCGAAUACGUUCCCGGGCCUU
rnacentral:rRNA from 1 species